rnacentral:lncRNA from 1 species
CCGGUGAGCCUCAGACGCUACAGAACAACAGCCACCUCUAUAUGUGCCUUAUUCCUACAUGUUCAUCCUAGGCACUGUCAGUGUGUUUGCUGCUGCUGUAAGAAAUUCCUGAGAUGGAGACAUUCAUAGCGAAGAUGUAUUCAUUUUGUCUCACAUAGUUGAAGGCUGGGCAGUCUAAGAGCAUGGCCCCACCAUGGCUCCAUGUUCCUCUGGCAGCUUCCCAGAAAAGCACCACGCAUCUGUUCCCAAAACAUCCGUUCAUAAGGCAGUUCCCAGAGAAACAUCAUGUGACGCAACUGAGACU